AUGUAAAAAUUCAAGUCUUUGUAAAAUUUUCAAUAUGUUUAGCACGAAAUAUUGGAGUCAAAAUUCAUAUAAAAGUUAUACGUUAAGUGGAUUUUUAUGGAAGGAACGUAAGGGUUUCCAUUCUAAAAUUUGGCUGCUGUACUGAAGUACAAACAGUUUUCAUAUAAGUAAGGAUUACUUGAAAUAGCUUUAGUGAUGGAAAAAAUAGCGAAAAAAGAAAUAAUAACGCGUCAAACAAAGCAAAAAAAAUAAAAAUGAGAAAAUCAAUUAAAUUCUUAGAAAUAUAAUGAGCAGAGUCGGUGUCGAUGUCGAUAUAACCUCACUGCUGAUUUUGCAUGAUUGUUGGGAAUAUAAAUAAACUAUUUUAUUAAAAUUUUUUAUUUUAUAAGAUUAUAUAAAAUUAUAAUACAGAAAAGGAAAGAGGAAUGUAUAUAAAAUAUAUUCAAUGCGCAUGAAGAGGCGGGAUCACAUUGAUAAAAAUAUAUCUAAAAGUAAACUUGGAAACCUCACCAAUUCAACAUUAUUUUUUAAAGAAAAUUGGAUAAUCACUAAUUUGAGAAACUAAAAUCGAAAAUCGAGAUAUAUUGCAAAUAUACACUGAGAGAUAUUAUUGUGUUUAUUAAACUUUUUUUAACUCUAUUUAACUCUAUUUAACUCUACUCUAUUGGAUAAAUGGAUGGUGUCCCUCCUACCCUCUUCCCCUUUACCCCUCUACCACACCACUGCAUUUCGGGAUACAUAUAUAAAAGAAACUUAAUAUAAUAAUAUGGAUGCAGCUGUAUUUUUUACUAUACGGCAAAGUAAGUUCUGCAAAAAUUAAUUGGAUGCUACAAAUACUGAAAAGACAACGGUCCGUCAAAUUUCUGUACUUAACAUAUAAAUUAUUGGUAUGAUGUGUUUCAAGAGUAUUUGGAAUUUACACUGAGUGUUGUGUGAGAUUUAUGUUAAAUGUAAACGUUAAAUAAGAUUCACAAGUAAAUCUUAAUGAACGAAACGGGAGCAUUGAAUCCUGAAACCCCAAGAAAUCGUACAAUCCUGUAAUAAUGGACUAAUAUUACUAACUAGUACAACUGAAAAUUAUAAUAUAAAAUAAAAAAUAUAUCUUAUAAGUACUUUCGCAAUUCACAACGGAAAGGAUUUACCAUAUAUAAUACCAUUUAAUUUUGAAUUUUAAAUAUUCAAACAUCAUCAGUUUGAGUACUGUUUCAAUUAAUAAGUUUAUAUAUGUUAGAAUUAAUUGUUGCUUUUAACCUUUUUGAAAAACACGUAAUUCAAUCAACCAUAAUGGAUCAAUUUUGGGUGUGUGAGCCAUAAAAUAGUACUUCCUGUGACUGUGGAAACGAUGAUAUGUGGUCCAUGUUCAAUAUGAAACUUAUUAAUACAUACAUAUUUUAUGAAAUGAGAUCUAUUUGGACAGCUUAAAGAUGACGAUUCGAAAUAACAAACAUCUGACUAAAUCUGUAUGAAUGUUUUGGAACUGAUCUGACUAGUGAAUACAACUAGUAUGAGGCUGUGCUUGUAUGAUGAGGCAUCGUAUUUUCGAUUUUGUAUAUAGUCCUCGAGUACCACUUUGAUUGUUCUUGCAAAUAUAAAGUACAUUAUUUGGUAUCACUAAUACUCAAAUUGAUUAUUUACGAUUAAAUUACUUUAUUUUUUCAA